rnacentral:rRNA from 1 species
UCAAAGGAAUUGACGGGGAGCACCACAACGGGUGGAGCUUGCGGUUUAAUUGGAUUCAACGCCGGAAAUCUUACCGGGACCGACAGCAAUAUGAAGGCCAGGCUGAAGACUUUGCCGGAUUAGCUGAGAGGUGGUGCAUGGCCGUCGUCAGUUCGUACUGUGAAGCAUCCUGUUAAGUCAGGCAACGAGCGAGACCCACGCCCACAGUUGCCAGCGUACUCUCUGGAGUGACGGGUACACUGUGGGGACCGCCGCUGCUAAAGCGGAGGAAGGAAUGGGCAACGGUAGGUCAGUAUGCCCCGAAUAUCCCGGGCUACACGCGAGCUACAAUGGUUGGUACAAUGGGUAUCUACCCCGAAAGGGGACGGGAAUCUCCUAAAACCAAUCUUAGUUCGGAUUGAGGGCUGCAACUCGCCCUCAUGAAGCUGGAAUCCGUAGUAAUCGCGUUUCAACAGAACGCGGUGAAUACGUCCCUGCUCCUU